AAUAAGAAACAAUAUAUUGUAUUUAGUUUCGGCCUAAAAGUUAGAUUUUAUUAAUCCUUAUUUGG
rnacentral:tRNA from 1 species